CCUCUGCGGUAGUGGCAGGUGCCUGCAGCCUGCAGAGGCAGUGACGACGGUGACAUUGCAGCAGGGCAGCCUCUCUGCUGUCUAUGUGAGGCGGCUCCCCCCAGCGCUAUAAAUAGACAGCCGUGAUCAGAGCCCCGGAAUAGCAGCUUGCGUGCCUGUCCCCAUCUUAGAGAGACAUCUGACCCCUGGUCCCCUGUGGAGCCCCUGCCGGGACCAUUAACCCAUUGGCUGCUGGCACCACCCCCACCUCCGCCUCCCGCGCACCUGCAUCUGUCAAUCCGGGACUCUGGCCUUGUGGAUUCUGGUGUUUUGGAGGUACUGGAUCCCAUCCCCCAAGGAUACAAAGGGACAGCUGUACUUGGGACUGGCAUCUGAAGUGGAGGACACUCUUGUGGGACUGAGACCUUAGCCUGCAGGAUCGGGUACUGUCUCCAGGGAGAAAGCGUCACAAUGGAACAGGGUUGGAGGACGCCCAGCGGGUGUCCGCGGAGACUGGAUGGAACCGGGUUGGAGGACGCCCAGCGGGUGUCCGCGGAGACUGGAUGGAACAGGGUUGGAGGACACCCAGUGGGUGCCUGCGGAGACUCGCUGGAGCAGGGUUGGAGGAUGCCUAGUAGGUGUCCACUGGAGACUUGCUUGGUGUUUGGGGAAAAUCCCCACACACAUUUUGGUGACCAGAGAUGAAGUAUUCCAUGUUGGAUGUUGACUGUUGAGUGUGUGAGAGCAGGGAAAACACUGUUUUUUUUUCCUGUCUCAGACACCAGCCCAG
rnacentral:lncRNA from 1 species